rnacentral:lncRNA from 1 species
GGGGAGGCGCUCAGCAUUCGGGUAAUUAAGGUUGCAAAAUGGCGAGGGGGGAGGUAAGCUGUCUUUGCUUGGCCAUCUUGGGCUAGCAGGCCUUGCAGAGAACUACCUUUUUAGCUGAGUGAAGGGAUCAACCUGAGUUGGAGUUCUCCUAUGCUGUGGCCAGAUCCACUAGAAAUUAACCCAGAAUCUUAGCCUCUCAGUGGCCUAUCGGUGAUGCCACACUCAAUCAGAAACUAUGCUACUGCUGAAGAGGUAUAUUGAGCCCUGCCUGGUUAACCUCCAGUGAGGUUAUUAGAGAAUUGGGAGAGGCUCAAAUCAGCAUCCUGCACCUAGUUAUCAAACCAUUGUGAAGUCUUGAUUCCUGGAUGGCCAGAAAACUUGUCAUUGGUCAAGAGCAACAUUAAGAUCUGCCUGUUACUCAUACUGAUGCUUCCUGCCCAGCAAGUUCAUCAGAGGGCGAGGAUGAAUUACGGUUGCCAUGAAUGUCCUUGUGAGGCAGUUGGGAAGCCUUGGCUGGAUUGUGAAGGAUAUUUGAAAAGUAUUUUAGAGUCCACCAGAUCAUCCAUGUGAGUGACCAUGCAGCAAAAGAAGGAGGGUCCUCUCAGUGAUUAAGAUAAUCAGCAACUGCUGUGAUGAGAUGCUGCCUUUAAUGCUGCUGCAUGUGGUCAAACCUCCACUCCCAGUCUACCCAGACCAGGACUUGGCUUCCAGGAUCCAGGGGUGUCUGUGUGAAAUGAUCAGCCUGGGCCCCCAAGCAGGUCACUCCCAGCACAGAGAUGUCAUUGAUUGUACCACCGUCAUCAGGCUGUCUUCCGCCCUCAGGGAAAAGUAGCAUGUCUUCCAGCACCAUAUGACAACUGCUCAGCACUUAUUUCUUGUCAUUGCUCCCUUCUGACUGCAGCUCCGUGGGAUCACAGGAGAUUAUGGUGGUGGUGGACUCCCAGGCAUUGCUAUUCUCCUGACACCAGAACACCAUCAUGGUCAUCUCUGAGGCAUCAGUAGUGUUUCUAUAUGCCAACAGUGAACAAUCUGAAAAAGAUAUUAAAAAGUAAUCUCAUUUACAAUAGCCACACAUAAAAUUAAAUACCUAGGAAUUAACCAAAGAAGUUAAAUAUCUCUAUAAUGAAAACUAUAAAA